rnacentral:rRNA from 1 species
AGAGUUUGAUCAUGGCUCAGAUUGAACGCUGGCGGCAUGCCUUACACAUGCAAGUCGAACGGCAGCACGGGAGCAAUCCUGGUGGCGAGUGGCGAACGGGUGAGUAAUACAUCGGAACGUGCCCAAUCGUGGGGGAUAACGCAGCGAAAGCUGUGCUAAUACCGCAUACGAUCUACGGAUGAAAGCAGGGGACCGCAAGGCCUUGCGCGAAUGGAGCGGCCGAUGGCAGAUUAGGUAGUUGGUGAGGUAAAGGCUCACCAAGCCUUCGAUCUGUAGCUGGUCUGAGAGGACGACCAGCCACACUGGGACUGAGACACGGCCCAGACUCCUACGGGAGGCAGCAGUGGGGAAUUUUGGACAAUGGGCGCAAGCCUGAUCCAGCCAUGCCGCGUGCAGGAUGAAGGCCUUCGGGUUGUAAACUGCUUUUGUACGGAACGAAACGGUCCUUUCUAAUAAAGAGGGCUAAUGACGGUACCGUAAGAAUAAGCACCGGCUAACUACGUGCCAGCAGCCGCGGUAAUACGUAGGGUGCAAGCGUUAAUCGGAAUUACUGGGCGUAAAGCGUGCGCAGGCGGUGAUGUAAGACAGUUGUGAAAUCCCCGGGCUCAACCUGGGAACUGCAUCUGUGACUGCAUCGCUGGAGUGCGGCAGAGGGGGAUGGAAUUCCGCGUAGCAGUGAAAUGCGUAGAUAUGCGGAGGAACACCGAUGGCGAAGGCAAACCCCUGGGCCUGCACUGACGCUCAUGCACGAAAGCGUGGGGACAACAGGAUUAGAUACCCNNGUAGUCC